UACGUAGGGUGCAAGCGUUAAUCGGAAUUACUGGGCGUAAAGCGUGCGCAGGCGGUGAUGUAAGACAGGUGUGAAAUCCCCGGGCUUAACCUGGGAACUGCAUUUGUGACUGCAUCGCUGGAGUGCGGCAGAGGGGGAUGGAAUUCCGCGUGUAGCAGUGAAAUGCGUAGAUAUGCGGAGGAACACCGAUGGCGAAGGCAGCCCCCUGGGUCAAGAUUGACGCUCAUGCACGAAAGCGUGGGGAGCAAACAGG
rnacentral:rRNA from 1 species